GUUUUAACAUCCGUGAAUAAAAAACAAAUGGAAAAAAAUACUUUUUAUAUUCUUUUCUAGUUCUUGUACUUGAAAACUGAACAGACACAGAGGGGUCAAUAAAGACCAUUCAUUUGAUCUCACAAAAUUAGAAUUUCUGUUCAUUUCAAAUUAAAGGUGGAUCCAGAUUUACUCUGGACAAUAUGAGUUGCUAAGAAAACAUAGAAGGAAAACAAAAAAAAAUGUACAUGCUUAACCAUUACUGGAGACCACAUGAAAAUACAAACCUGGCGGCGUCGCCUCUCUGUUUAAAGCACGUCAGUGACUCCUCCCAUGAGCAGGGCCAUUCUCGACUGCUGCGGGGAUGUGAGUGUGGUUUCCUGUUCAUAAGCUUCCCAUUGUCUACUAACUGUAGAAUGGAUUCCCAACCCAGGGAUGGUGACUUAAGGACUUCCAGUUUAUUCCUUUUUAUCAGCCCUCAUACGUCUCUUCCUCUAGUUCCUUUCAACAGUUCUUUUUUAAAAAAAAUUUAUAAUGAAACAAUUUAUUGAGUAUACAUCUUUCAUUAUUAGAGAAAUAAACAAU